rnacentral:rRNA from 1 species
ACUCCUACGGGAGGCAGCAGUGGGGAAUAUUGCACAAUGGGCGCAAGCCUGAUGCAGCCAUGCCGCGUGUGUGAAGAAGGCCUUCGGGUUGUAAAGCACUUUCAGUCGUGAGGAAGGUAGUGUAGUUAAUAGCUGCAUUAUUUGACGUUAUCGACAGAGAAGACAACCGCGUAACUCCGUGCCAGCAGCCGCGGUAAUACGGAGGGUGCGAGCGUUAAUCGGAAUUACUGGGCGUAAAGCGCAUGCAGGUGGUUUGUUAAGUCAGAUGUGAAAGCCCGGGGCUCAACCUCGGAAUUGCAUUUGAAACUGGCAGACUAGAGUACUGUAGAGGGGGGUAGAAUUUCAGGUGUAGCGGUGAAAUGCGUAGAGAUCUGAAGGAAUACCGGUGGCGAAGGCGGCCCCCUGGACAGAUACUGACACUCAGAUGCGAAAGCGUGGGGAGCAAACAGGAUUAGAUACCCUGGUAGGAUAGCGU